rnacentral:rRNA from 1 species
UUAAAGUUGUUGCAGUUAAAAAGCUCGUAGUUGAAUUUCGGGAUCAAUUAAUUGGUCGUGCCUCUGGUACGUACUGAUUUUAUUGGUUUCUCCCUUCUGACGAACCAUGAUGUCAUUAAUUUGAUGUCGUGGAGAAUCAGGACUGUUACUUUGAAAAAAUUAGAGUGUUUAAAGCAAGCUAACGCUUGAAUACAUUAGCAUGGAAUAAUGAAAUAGGACGUUUGAUCCUAUUUUGUUGGUUUCUAGGAUCGACGUAAUGAUUAAUAGGGAUAGUUGGGGGCAUUAGUAUUCAAUUGUCAGAGGUGAAAUUCUUGGAUUUAUUGAAGACUAACUACUGCGAAAGCAUUUGCCAAGGAUGUUUUCAUUAAUCAAGAACGAAAGUUAGGGGAUCGAAGACGAUCAGAUACCGUCGUAGUCUUAACCAUAAACUAUGCCGACUAGGGAUCGGAUGAUGUUAAUUUUUUAAUGACUCAUUCGGCGC